rnacentral:rRNA from 1 species
UAAGGAAUAUUGGUCAAUGCCCGGAAGGGUGAACCAGCCAUCCCGCGUGAAGGAUGAAGGGGCUCUGCCUUGUAAACUUCUUUUGAAUGGGACGAAAAAGCCUCACUUGUGAGGAACUGACGGUACCAUUAGAAUAAGCACCGGCUAACUCCGUGCCAGCAGCCGCGGUAAUACGGAGGGUGCGAGCGUUAUCCGGAAUCACUGGGUUUAAAGGGUGCGUAGGCGGCUGUAUAAGUCAGUGGUGAAAGGCUGUGGCUUAACCAUGGGAUUGCCAUUGAUACUGUACGGCUUGAAUUAGGAUGAGGUUGGCGGAAUGUGACAUGUAGCGGUGAAAUGCUUAGAUAUGUCAUGGAACAUCGAUUGCGAAGGCAGCUGACUGGACCUUAAUUGACGCUGAGGCACGAAAGCGUGGGGAGCGAACAGGAUUAGAUACCCUGGUAGUCCCUGAGCGGGCUGGCAAGGCGCAU